UUUGUCGCAAUAUUAAUUAUUAAAAGAAAUGAAUGUAUUAUUUAGCGACGGAAUAUAAAAUCCGUCGCUAUUCCGUCGUUAAAUGUAAAAAAAAAAAAGAUAUCUCGUAGCUAGGGUACACAUUAUUUCAUUUCCAAACACAGCAGCCAACACGGAUAGAGAGAUAGACUGCGAAAUUGCUAACAUAGAGAGAGAGAGCACAACAUAGAUCAAAAUAAUGUGAAUCUAGGGUUUCUAUUGUGUUUUUCUCUUCUUCUACUGCAACUUUUAUCUAAAGGAAAGGUAUGUUUUGAUUUUUCUAUGUUUUAUGGGCAGUUUCUUUCUUCUUUAUCUCCUUCUUUGUAUUUUCUGACAUUAAAUCUAUCUGUGUUUUCUUGCUUAUUAUCUAAAGGACAGAGUGUCUUUAAGUAUUUUUUUGGGCUAAAAUCGAAGUUGGGUGUGUUGAAAACUGUUGGGCUUAUAAUUUAUUUGAAGGUUAAGUGUUGGGAAUCUAUAUUUCGACCAAAAUCUGAUGAAAAUGGAAAUUCGACUUUUGUUUGUGCUAAAUCUUGUAGGAUAAUAUUAUUUGGUGGUUAAAGUUUGUUUUAAUUCGUUGCAUGUCGAGAAAAAGCUUGAAGAACUCAACAUUCUUUAUAUUCUGUGAUUUGAAAUCAGUGUUAGUGAACUGAGUUUCUUACUCGAUUUUUUUUGUUUCAGUUUGUCAUUUUUUUAACUAAAAGGUGAAUGAUAUUUUCUGUUUCAAUAAGUUAUUUCAGCUUGUUCUUCUCUCUUAGCGGUAUUUCUCAUUAGCAAAAUGUAUCGUUUUGUAGCAAAUCUUGCUUCCAAAGCCAGAGUGGCAAGAACCAACACCCAACAAAUUGGUGGAAGGUUAAAUUGGAGUAGAAGUUAUGCUGCAAAGGAUAUUAGAUUUGGUGUUGAAGCUCGAGCUGCAAUGCUUCAAGGUAUUGAAGAACUUGCUGAUGUUGUUAAAGUCACUAUGGGU